rnacentral:rRNA from 1 species
GUCUACGGCCAAGCCACCCUGAACGCGCCCGAUCUUGUCUGAUCUCGGAAGCUAAGCAGGGUCGGGCCUGGUUAGUACUUGGAUGGGAGACCACCUAGGAAGACCAGGUGCUGUAGGCG